rnacentral:tRNA from 1 species
AGCUCAGCCGGUUAGAGCACAGCACUCAUAAUGCUGGGGUCGGUGGUUCGAGUCCACCC